GCUCCAGUGGCACAAUCGGUCAGCGCGCGGUACUUAUAAUGCCGAGGUUGUGAGUUCAAGCCUCACCUGGAGCA
rnacentral:tRNA from 1 species